AUCUUAACAGCUGAAUACAGCAAAAAGAAAGAAAUAUUGUGCGUUUAUAAAGUAAAAGUGUGUUAAGUGCCAAUCUCAAUUGAUUGGCGGUUAGUACCGGCUUAAACUUCGGGCAAUCGUUUGGGUACCUGUCUGAACCCCAAUACGAAAGCUCGUAACAACAAUUUCCCCGAUAUUAGGGCCUCCGCCCGCGGCAAGGGACUUAUGCUCCUCGCCCAACUACAGCUCCGUACCAAAAAUUCCCAGCGCUAGGCCGAGCAGCACAAAGCGGGAGGCGUAAAAGAUCGGCUCAUCAGUCGCUUUGUGGGCGCGAGCCACUUAUGUGUCACGGACCCGCGAUAUAUUGGAGGCCGUCCAAUUCUGCGGAAAUUAUUAAAGCUAUGUAAACGGUCAGCCAAUUUCUACCCGAAAUAUAGAUCUGGGUCUCGACCUUUUUUCGUUUCCCCAUACGAAGUGCCGAGGAGUGCCCAGAUGUGAAGCCGGCGGCAACGACUGUCGUUUUUUUUUAUAUCCAUCAGUGUAACCGCUGAUUCCUAUUUUUAUGCUAUAGUGUCAUUAGUGUAAUUAGCUUAGUAAAUUUCAUUUGGUUGUGUUUUUAAAUUCUGUUCGGAAGAAAUAGCAAGUGGAAUGUGUGACAGGGCGAAAGUGAACAACGGAUAAACGGCAGAGGAGAGCGUGAGUUUUUUUUUUGUAAAAGUAUUUCUCCAGCUUUCGUUUUAGGAACGUUGCCGCAGUCCAUGGAAGCGCUUUCAUCGCUGUUUCAACGCAUUUAUUAAAACAAAUCAAAGGAAGGCCUCAGGGGCUUCGUCGCUUAAGAGAGGCUGUGCGCUCUCCCUUAUGCCCUGCUGGCAACCAUAAGCGCUUACGCCGCGCAUAAGAACCAGCCCUCUUAAGAACAAGGCACAAAAGGGAA